UUAACGAGAUUCCCACUGUCC
rnacentral:siRNA from 1 species